rnacentral:rRNA from 1 species
CAGCAGCCGCGGUAAUACGAAGGGUGCAAGCGUUAAUCGGAAUUACUGGGCGUAAUGCGUGCGUAGGCGGUUUGUUAAGUCUGUUGUGAAAUCCCCGGGCUCAACCUGGGAAUGGCAAUGGAUACUGGCAAGCUAGAGUGUGUCAGAGGAUGGUGGAAUUCCCGGUGUAGCGGUGAAAUGCGUAGAGAUCGGGAGGAACAUCAGUGGCGAAGGCGGCCAUCUGGGACAACACUGACGCUGAGGCACGAAAGCGUGGGGAGCAAACAGGAUUAGAUACCCCCGUAGUCCCUGUCUCUUAUAC